rnacentral:tRNA from 1 species
AAAUCCGUCGACUUUAAAAAUCGUGAGGGUUCAAGUCUCUCUAUUCCCAA